AUGGUACAUAAAGAUAUCAGUGUUUUAUAUAACUCUUUAUCCCUCCGCCGUUCCUUCUUCCUCCUCAUCCCCUUAUACCUCUCCUUUUCUCUUCUGUCAGCCUCCCUCCCUACAGUAUAUCUCUCCCCUUAUACCUCUCCUUUUCUCUUCUGUCAGCCUCCCUCCACAGUAUAUCUCUCCCCUUAUACUCUCUCCUUUUCUCUUCUGUCAGCCUCCCUCCCUACAGUAUAUCUCUCCCUUAUACCUCUCCUUUUCUCUGUCGCCCUCCCUCCUACAGUUCUCUCCCCUUAUAACCCACUCCUUUUUCUCUGUCGCCUCCCUCCCUACAGUAUAUCUCUCCCCUUAUACCUCUCCUUUUCUCUUCUGUCAGCCUCCCUCCCUACAGUAUAUCUCUCCCCUUCCCCUUCAUUUUACGCACUCAUACAUUCACCCACUCUGUCCUCAGUGUAGACUAGACUGUUGGUGGGUUUUUGCUUUGUAUUACAUUGUAUUAUAAACUUUUAAAAGAUAGAGACAUAAAACAUGGUUUGAGUUCAUAGAAGAGUACAUUAAUGCUUCCGUAGCUAUCAGAGCGAUGCCACAGUGACAGAAUGUAUUAUGUUGAUUUUACUAAUACCCAGAGGCAAGUGUUACGCUUGUUCAAAUAACAUAAAAAAUACUGAUUUGUAGAGUAUCAAUUUGGUGUGUUUUCAAUAAACCAUGCCUGGAAAGAACAUGUUGCCUGUGAAUUUUGUGUUGAUAUUCCAUUCCAAGAAGACCAAGGAUCUAUACAGCUUCAUGAAUUUUUACCUCAAGCCAAAAUCCAUUCCCAAUAAAUAAUAUAUUGUAGAAGUUGUUACUAAUGUCACAUUGUCAUAUGGUUAAAAGAGACUCAUGCUACUGUCGUGUCUUUGGCAUCAUUAAACUGAAGACUGUUAUUUUAUCAAAUCAAUUCAGUAAUUAUUAUUAUGUGAUUAAACUAAUCACGUAAAUGUAAUUAACUUGGAAGGUGGGGCACCAAGGAAAAUAUUCAGAUUACAAAGUUAUAAUUUUCCUAAUAUAACUUUCAAAUAUUUAAACAUCU
rnacentral:lncRNA from 1 species